AAGUCGUAACAAGGUUUCCGUAGGUGAACCUGCGGAAGGAUCAUUAACACAAUUGAUUUCACAAUUAUCAACCUUGGAGCACCAGUACCCUUACGGGGGACUACUCGAUGUGGCAGGUUGUGAUGAGUCGAGCUCUAUGCACGACUUCAUGCCCAUCGGUUAGCCACACGCUGAAAAGUGUGAGGGCCAAGUCUACUCGCUCGGGAUUACAGCCUCUAACCUGGCUGGUCUUUUUUUCAUUUAACUUGAUUUUUGUUUAUGAAUUCAGUUCGGGAUUGAGAAUGGCUGCACUCCUUCCUUCAACGGAAGGGCAGGUGUGACCGGACUCUCUCGAACGAUUAGUGGAGAAAUCCAUUAAGUAAUUAGAAUACAACUCUUAUCAGCGGAUAUCUCGGUUCUC
rnacentral:misc_RNA from 1 species